GGGCUCACACAAGCGGUGGAUGAUGUGGCUUAAUUCGAGGCAACGCGAAGAACCUUAUCCUGGACUUGACAUGCUUGGAUGGCUCGCCCGAAAGGGAUGAGUCUGCCUUCGGGUGAAACUUGCACAGGUGCUGCAUGGCUGUCGUCAGCUCGUGUCGUGAGACGUCGCGUUAAGUCGCUUAACGAGCGCAACCCCUACCGUUAGUUGCCAGCGUGUAAUGACGGGGACUCUAACGGAACUGCCGGUGCAAACCGUGAGGAAGGUGGGGGAUGACGUCAAAUCAUCACGGCCCUUACGUCCUGGGCUACACACGUGCUACAAUGGUCGGUACAGAGAGCAGCCACUGCGCGAGUAGAGCGAA
rnacentral:rRNA from 1 species